rnacentral:misc_RNA from 1 species
UACGGAGGGUGCAAGCGUUAAUCGGAAUUACUGGGCGUAAAGCGCGCGUAGGUGGCUUGAUAAGCCGGUUGUGAAAGCCCCGGGCUCAACCUGGGAACCGCAUCCGGAACUGUCAGGCUAGAGUACAGUAGAGGAGAGGGGAAUUCCCGGUGUAGCGGUGAAAUGCGUAGAGAUCGGGAGGAAUACCAGUGGCGAAGGCGGCCUUCUGGACUGACACUGACGCUGAGGUGCGAAAGCGUGGGUAGCAAACAGG